UACGUAGGGGGCAAGCGUUGUUCGGAAUUACUGGGCGUAAAGGGCGCGUAGGCGGCACGGCAAGUCGGGAGUGAAAGCCCGGGGCUCAACCCCGGAGGGUCUUCCGAAACUGCCGGGCUAGAGUGCGGAAGAGGCAACCGGAAUUCCCAGUGUAGCGGUGAAAUGCGUAGAUAUUGGGAAGAACACCGGAGGCGAAGGCGGGUUGCUGGGCCGACACUGACGCUGAGGCGCGAAAGCCAGGGGAGCAAACGGGAUUAGAAACCCCCGUAGUCC
rnacentral:rRNA from 1 species